rnacentral:lncRNA from 1 species
CAAAUAUAUCUGAUAGGUGAAUGGAUAAACAAACUACUACAUCAAAUAUGUAUACUACUCUCUAAUAUAAACAACUUUCAUCUGGUUAGAUACAUGGUGGUAAAACAAAUAAUAAAACAACUAUUCAUCAACUCAUAUAAACCUUAGGAGUAAUUUGCUGAGUGACAAAAAUGCCAAAAGCUUACAUACUCUCUAUCAAUAAAAAUUCAUAACUUAUUUAUAUAAAAUUUAUAAAAACCAUUUACAAAAACAAUUUUAUUUUUAUCACAUUCAUGAAAUGAUGAAAUUAUACUGAUAGGAGAAAAGUGGUUGGCAGAGUUAGGUUUGGAUGGAGUGUAAGCAUAAAAAGGUAGCAUGAGGGACUUUGUGUUCAUUAGUUUUAUGUGGUUGCAGUGGUUACACGAAUCUGUACAUGUAAUACAACUUCUUAGAGUACAAACUAAAAAAGAAAAAAACAUGUAAAAAUUAGUCAAAUCCAAAAUAAGAUUAGUUUACUUUAUAGUAUCCUACCAAUGUUGUUUUUCUGGUUUUGAUAAUUAUGGUUAUAUAGGACAUUUUUACUAGAAAUUGGUUGAAGGAUACUAGCAAAGCCUCUAGACUGGUUUUGCAAUUUCUUUUGAGUUCAAAUUUAUUUAAGUUGAAGGUGGUUUUAUAAACUGAUCAUCUCUAUAAUCUUAGUUAAGCAAGUCCAAAUAUGUUGUUAUGUUAAUAUAUUUAACAUAUUCAGUUUCUUUUCUACUUAAGUUUGCUUAAUGUACAAUUAAGCUCAGAGCCAAAGAAAGGAAAAGAGCUAAUCAUAAUAUGGGGUGGUUGUUCUGGAGUAUUUUCUGACACAAAUAAAUUCUCUAAUUCUCCCACACCAAUUGGGUGUUCUACAAUUCAAUUCUGAACAACUGGGUGUUCUACAAUUCAAUUCUGAACAACUGGGUGUUCUACAAUUCAAUUCUGACACUAACUUCUCCAAGUUAGUGCAGACUCCACAAGUUAGUGCAGUCCAAGUUAGUUAGUGCAGUCUAAAUUAGUGCAGACUCCACAAGUUAGUGCAGUCCAAGUUAGUUAGUGCAGUCUAAAUUAGUGCAGACUCCACAAGUUAAGGGGCUCAGUCCAAGACUUCCCCCACAUCAGAUGCCACUCACAAGGACAACCUGCAGUUCUGAAUGGUGAUAAAUUCCGAGUUCCCACUACCCUACUCAGGUUUGAUAAUUUGCUACAGGGCUCACAAAACGCAAGAAAACAGCGUACUUUGUUUUACUGGUUAUAAAGGACACAAAUGAACACUCAAAUGAAGAGGUACAUAGAGUAAAGCCUAAAAAGGGUUCUCCUAAUCUCAGGAGCCUCUAUCCCUAUGAAGUUGGGGGUGCACCACCCUCCUGGGCUAUUUGGAGUUCUCUUAAUCUCAUUGUCUAAUCUAAUUUCCAGCACCCCUCCCCUUCCAGGAGGUGGGAGAAAUGGGGCACAAAGUUUCCAUCCUCUAGUUACUUGAUCUUCCUAGAGAACAGCCCCAUUCUGAGGCUGUCUAGGGGAGCAACCAUAAGUCACUUCAGUAGUAUAAUCAGGUGUAAUUAAAAGGGCAGUGCUAUGAAUAACAACAACAGCAAAAACAAAACAAAACCAAAAAACUCUUAUCACUCAUGAAGUUCUAAGCGUUUUAGGAGCUCUAUGCCAGGAACCAGGAACAGAGACCAAAUGUAUUUCUCAUUACACCACAAUUUUACACAACAGUAAAAAUAAACAGUAAUGAGACAGUAUAUUAUGGAAUCAUUGGCAAGGCAACUAGAAAUGAGGAUUAAGGUAUCCUGUCUGAAAAUGCACACCAGGUGUAUUAGCUGAUGUUUAAGGUUAUACUUAUUAAGAAAAAGCACUCAAAUAUUCAUCAUUUUCACCACAUUUCAUGCCUUUAUGAGCUGUUGAUAGUUUGCUAAAGGUGUUCCACAUUUAUUUGAUAGCAUGUUCGGAACAAUUUUACUUUCUAUGUGAUCUCCUGACAAAUGAUGAAGCAGAGUGCGUCGCUGAAAUCCUGCCAUCAAUACUGUCACCUUAAAGUUAUUUUCCAGUGUAAACUUUGACACUCACUGAGGUCAUAUUUCUGAGUAAAGACUUUGUCAUGGUCAUCAUGUUUCUAUCAACAAUAAGCUCACUUACGUUGAAAUCUAUGAUGAAACCUGAUAAUAAAGUCUAUCUUUCCACAGAAGACUUUUCUUAGUCUUUGUAUUCACAGAAUUUAUCUCUGUAUACUUUUCAGACAUAUGAGCAGAAAUUAUUGCUCAAAACAUCUCCACAUUAAUAUAGUUUAUUCAACGUGUUUUCAUUGACAGAAAAUAUGAGGUAAAAGACCACUAAAGGCACUACCUUAUUUACUGUAUUCAUCAAAUUGAUCUCUAGGGCAAAUCAUUUCACCUCCUGAGGACAGACACACAUCUGUCAACAGGCAGCACCAUGUUUAUGUUCCAAUUGGCUAGAAACACACUGAUGUUUAAUGAAGUCUAAGUUGCCACAAAAGGCAUUUCCAUAGUCACGGCACUAGUAGGGUUUUCUUCUGCAUGAGUUCACUUAUAAGGAAGGAGCUGUGACUCUCCAUUACAGGAGUUUUCAACUUGACUGAUUCUACCCAUUUCUCUUGUGUGCAUCUUCUUAUGUUUGACAAGGUUUGAUAAGUGGGAGAAGGCUUUCUCACAAUCACUGCAUCCAUACGGCCUCUCUCCUGUAUGCGUUCUUUGAUGUACAUUGAGUACUGACUUUGUGGUGAAGGCUUUUCCACAUUCAUUGCACUCAUAAGGUUUCUCUCCUGUGUGAAUUCUCUGAUGGGUAAUGAGGCCAUAUUUGUGUGAAUAGGAUUUUCCGCACUCGGUACAUACAAAGGGAGUCUUUCCUGUAUGACAUCUCUCAUGUUGUAUGAGGCAUAUUUUCUGGCUGAAGGCUUUACCACAUUCAUUGCAUUCAUAGGGUUUUUCUCCUGUAUGAGUUCGCUGAUGUAUAAUAAGAGUGCGCUUUGUGGUGAAGCCUUUACCACAUUCAUUGCAUAUGUAAGAUUUCUCUCCUGUAUGAGUUCGCUGAUGUAUAAUGAGAGUGCGUUUGACAGUGAAGCCUUUUCCACAUUCGCUGCAUAUGUAAGAUUUUUCUCCUGUAUGGGAGCGCUGAUGUACAAUGAGAUUGCUCUUCACGGUAAAGCCUUUUCCACAUUCACUGCACAUAUAGGGUUUCUCUCCAGUAUGAGUUCGCUGAUGUACAACAAGAUAGCGCUUCAUGGUGAAGCCUUUUCCACAUUCACUACAUAUACAAGAUUUCUCUUCUGUAUGAAUUUGCUGAUGUACAAUGAGAUAGCGUUUCAUGGUGAAGCCUUUUCCACAUUCACUGCACAUAAAGGGUUUCUCUCCAGUAUGAGUUCGCUGGUGUACAACAAGAUUGCUCUUAAAGGCAAAACCUUUUCCACAUUCAUUGCAUAUGUACGGUUUCUCUCCAGUAUGAGUUCGCUGAUGUAACAUCAGUCCGCUAUUCACAAUGAAACCUUUCCCACAUUCACUGCACCUGUAAGGUUUCUCUCCAGUAUGAGUUCGCUGAUGUACAAUCAGCCGACUCUUCAAGGGGAAGCCUUUCCCACAUUCACUGCAUGUGUAGGGCUUCUCUCCAGUAUGAGUUCGCUGAUGUAUGAUGAGCAUGCUUUUCACAGUAAAACCUUUUCCACAUUCACUACAUAGAUAUGACUUCUCUACUGUAUGAUUUCUCUGAUGUACAAUAAGAUUACUCUUCCUGGGAAAGCCUUUUCCACAUUCAUUGCAUAUGUAGGGUUUCUCUCCUGUAUGAGUUCGUUGAUGUUCGAUCAUACGGCUCUUCAUGGUGAAGCCUUUCCCACAUUCAUUGCAUAUAUACGGUUUCUCUCCUGUAUGAUUUCGUUGAUGUAUGAUGACAUAGUGUUUUGUGGUGAAGCCUUUCCCACAUUCACUACAGAUGUAGGGCUUCUCUCCUGUAUGAGUUCGCUGAUGUAUAAUAAGCAUGCUCUUCCCAGUGAAGCCUUUUCCACAUUCACUACAUAUAUAGGAUUUCUCUCCAGUAUGAUUUCGCUGAUGUACAAUGAGAUUACGCUUGCCUGGGAAGCCUUUUCCACAUUCAUUGCAUAUGUAGGGUUUCUCUCCAGUAUGAGUUCGCUGAUGUUCAAUCAGACGGCUCUUCAUGGUGAAGACUUUUCCACAUUCACUGCAUAUAAAAGAUUUCUCUCUUUUAUGAAUUCUUUGAUGUUCAUUUAGCCUCGACUUUCUGGAGAACACUUUUGCACACAAAGUACAUCCAUAAGGUUUUUCUCCUGUAUGAACUCUCUCAUGAUCAGUGAGCUGAGACUUCUUGACAAACGCUUUCCCACAUUCACUGCACAUGUGGUUUUUUUCUAUUUCAUGAGUUCUCUGAUGCUUACUGACUUGGGAUUUAGUGCUAUUGGCUUUUGUACUUACAGAGAAUUUAGCUGCAGAAUAAAGUUCUUCAUAGUUACCAUGAAGAAAUGAUUUCCCAUCUCCACUAAAUUUAGUAGAGUUGUUAAUUUCACAGCUUUUGUUCUGGUUGACUAAACUUAAAUUUGAUUUCAAAGUUUUUAUAUAUAACUCAAAUGUAUCAUGAUUUUCCCUGAAAAGACAAAGGCUUUUGGUUUGAGAGGCAGUAUUUCCAAAUGCAUUAUGUUCAUGGUAUUGUUCCACACUCUUCAGCAUCCUUUGAUUUUCCAAGUGAUCCUGCAGAUGAUCAUCAACUUUGUUGUUUUCUAGGAAAGAAGAGAACAAUAAAUCCUUUUAUAAUCUUGUUGGGGAUAAAACUGUUUUCUUAGAGAAAAAAAUCCUUGGUGUUUUAUUUUGUUUAUUAUUAUUAUUUUU